rnacentral:rRNA from 1 species
UACGUAGGGUGCAGGCGUUAAUCGGAAUUACUGGGCGUAAAGCGUGCGCAGGCGGUUUGCUAAGACAGGUGUGAAAUCCUCGGGCUUAACCUGGGAACUGCGCUUGUAACUGGCAAGCUAGAGUGUGGCAGAGGGGGGUGGAAUUCCACGUGUAGCAGUGAAAUGCGUAGAGAUGUGGAGGAACACCGAUGGCGAAGGCAGCCCCCUGGGCUAACACUGACGCUCAUGCACGAAAGCGUGGGGAGCAAACAGG